UCCCUAGCUCUUACAACAAAUACCCAGUUCCUGUGGGUUUGUAACAUCUCGUUAUUCCUGAAGGAACAGAUCUGGAAGAAGGCAGACUUUUCUGUAAGCCCAAAAAUUCUUCAGGGUUCCUGGUCGCCCAGCAUGGCCAGGGUCUCAAACCCUCUAAUUCAAUCUGCUCUAAUGGAGUCAAGCUGACAGUAAAGAGAAGAUCAGAAACAGCGAGUCUAAUCUGCCUAUAUGGGAGAAAAUUCAGCAAACAGGAACCAGCUCAGAGACCAAGAAAACCAAACAAGGUUAUUAACCCACAUCAGAACACCAGAGAGAUAACAAGAAGUUGGUUCCAAGAUGAAAAAUGCAAGAGAGAAGCAGAUUGUGGAACAAAAGAGAGGAUGGUCCAUGUUCAUAUACACCUGAUUGUACUUAGA
rnacentral:lncRNA from 1 species